GACGAACCGUCCAAACGUUAUUUCGGAAUCACUGGGCUUAAAGGGUGCGUAGGCGGCGCGGAAAGUUGGGUGAUGAAAUCCCUCGGCUUAACCGAGGAACUGCCCUCCAAACUGCUUGGCUUGAGUCCGGGAGAGGUGGAGUGGAAUUCCCAAGUGUAGCGGUGGAAAUGACGUAGAUAUUGGGAGGAACACCGAAGUGGCGAAGGCGGCUCACUGGACCGGAACUGACGCUGAGGCGCGAAAGCGAUGGGGAGCAAAGCGGGGAUUAAGAAACCCGUUUGUA
rnacentral:rRNA from 1 species